CAUGCAAGUCGAACGAAGUAGCAAUACUUAGUGGCAGACGGGUGAGUAACAUGUAGGUAUCUGCCCUUUGGCCUGGAAUAACACGAGGAAACUUGUGCUAAUACCGGAUAAGUCUUUACGGAGAAAGCUUUAUGCACCAUUGGAUGAGCCUGCACUUGAUUAGUUUGUUGGUAGGGUAAUGGCCUACCAAGACUGUGAUCAAUAGCUGAUUUGAGAGGAUGAUCAGCCACAUUGGGACUGAGACACGGCCCAAACUCCUACGGGAGGCAGCAGUGGGGAAUCUUGCACAAUGGAGGAAACUCUGAUGCAGCGAUGCCGCGUGAGUGAAGAAGGCCCUUGGGUUGUAAAGCUCUUUCGUCGGGGAAGAAAAUGACUGUACCCGAAUAAGAAGGUCCGGCUAACUUCGUGCCAGCAGCCGCGGUAAUACGAAGGGACCUAGCGUAGUUCGGAAUUACUGGGCUUAAAGAGUUCGUAGGUGGUUGAAAAAGUUAGUGGUGAAAUCCCAGAGCUUAACUCUGGAACUGCCAUUAAAACUUUUCAGCUAGAGUAUGAUAGAGGAAAGCAGAAUUUCUAGUGUAGAGGUGAAAUUCGUAGAUAUUAGAAAGAAUACCAAUUGCGAAGGCAGCUUUCUGGAUCAUUACUGACACUGAGGAACGAAAGCAUGGGUAGCGAAGAGGAUUAGAUACCCUCGUAGUCCAUGCCGUAAACGAUGUGUGUUAGACGUUGGAAAUUUAUUUUCAGUGUCGCAGGGAAACCGAUAAACACACCGCCUGGGGAGUACGACCGCAAGGCUAAAACUCAAAUGAAUUGACGGGGACCCGCACAAGUAGUGGAGCAUGUGGUUUAGUUCGAAGAUACGCGCAGAACCCUACCAACACUUGACAUGUUCGUCGCGACUCUAAGAGAUUAGAGUUUUCGGUUCGGCCGGACGAAACACAGGUGCUGCAUGGCUGUCGUCAGCUCGUGUCGUGAGAUGUUGGGUUAAGUCCCGCAACGAGCGCAACCCUCACUUUUAGUUGCCAUCAUUAAGUUGGGCACUCUGAAAGAACUGCCAGUGAUAAGCUGGAGGAAGGUGGGGAUGACGUCAAGUCCUCAUGGCCCUUACGUGUUGGGCUACACACGUGCUACAAUGGUAUCUACAACAGGAAGCAAGACUGCGAAGUUAAGCAAAUCCCUAAAAGAUACCUCAGUUCGGAUUGCACUCUGCAACUCGACUGCAUGAAGCUGGAAUUACUAGUAAUCGUGGAUCAGCGUGCCACGGUGAAUGCGUUCCCGGGUCUUGUACACACCGCCCGUCACACCAUGGGAGUUGGUUCUACCUUAAGGCAAGGUUCAAACCCUGACC
rnacentral:rRNA from 1 species